rnacentral:tRNA from 1 species
GGCUCGGUAGCUUAGUUGGUAAAACAUUCGUCUUGUAUUCAAGAGUCGUGGGUUCGAAUCCCACCGGAGCAA